rnacentral:rRNA from 1 species
UACGUAGGGGGCAAGCGUUGUCCGGAUUUAUUGGGCGUAAAGAGCGCGCAGGCGGUCGUUCAAGUCGCGUGUGAAAGCCCCCGGCUCAACUGGGGAGGGUCACGCGAUACUGAUCGACUCGAAGGCAGGAGAGGGUAGUGGAAUUCCCGGUGUAGUGGUGAAAUGCGCAGAUAUCGGGAGGAACACCAGUGGCGAAGGCGGGUCUCUGGACAGUUCCUGACGCUGAGGCACGAAGGUCAGGGGAGCAAACGGG